UUGCGUUGACUAGCUAUGCAAAUAACUAAUAUGUAAGUGCUGGUUUUAACCCAUUUAAAUCAACACUCAGUGCAGAAAAGUUAGAUGAAUGUGAUUGGUCCGUUUGAGAGCUAGAAGAGAUAAAAAGGCCAGGAGAUGAGAAAUAACAGCGUAGUCCACUAGGUAAACUCACGCGACAAAUGUUUAUGAAUGAACUUGGAAGUAAUAUGAUUAUAGUGACGAGAGUGUUUUGUUGAUAUUUUCCUCUUAAAAGAACAAGACGAAAAAGAGAUGUUCGGCAGACUGGAUGCAGUUUUUUUGUACAUGGUGUUGCUCUGUUUACCAGCAUGUGAAGCCAGAUGCCGUAAACGUCCUGUCCGAGAAAUAGUGCAGCAAAAAAAUUGCAUUCAAAAAAUGGUAUUAAACUUUGCAUGUCAAGGGUCUUGUGAAAACAGCCUUUCAAAUAUUUUGAGACAAGAUGGUGCAUCGCAAUCUUGUCAAAUUUCUUCCUUUCGACAACAAACUGUGCGUCUGAGAUGUUUUCGAAAUGGAGAUUUAACGCAAUUGAAAUCCCGGGACAUCAUGGUGCCCGUUGUGACUGCGUGUGCCUGCGGUGGUGGGAGUUCUGGGUCCACUCUAAGUGAUACUAACUCUGAAGAAGACCGAGAGGUACCGGUUCACACUACAAGGAGAUCUAGAAUCCAGCACCUUCUGCAGAGACUUGCACUCGGAAGGCAUCGGGGGAGACAUAGAGGUCUUGCGCAUUCCCGGACGUGAAAUUCUAUAUCACUGUUAAUUAACUCACUAAAAAUACGGGUGUUCAACGAGAAUCUCACACAGACCACGAAUUCUUCAAUUUGAAUAUGUCAUAUUAUCAUGAUUAUCACCUAAAGGUAUAGCAUUCCUUCAUCAUAUCAUUUUUAUUUUAUUGCAUACAUACAUAUUGUACAUAAAUCAUAUUUAACACACCGAAAGAGCUUUCAAAUUACGAAAGCAGGCUGUGUUAAUUAUAAAGGACACAGCGCUAGAUGCACCGUGUAAACCAUUGUUUGACAGAUGAAGUGGACUCACCGAUAUUUUCACAAAUAUAUAUAUCUUUUUUAUAAAGCUUAGUACAACGAUCUCCCGUACCUAGGUGAAUGUUGUGUUUUCCGAACCUCCAGAAAUGCACAUCCCACGUUCUCAAUCAAAUCAUAAUUUAUGUCUGCUGAAGCACAGGGUAAUAGUUUAAAUCAAAAUUCAUUUUUAGUAAUGUCUAAUCAUAGCAAUAUGUCAUUGAUAAUUAAAUAUUGUUAGUCUUGUUGUCCAUAUCUAAACGCCACACAAAAAAUUUGCAUAUUUUAGGCUUAGAAACUUAGCAUGUUUGUAUGAUUGUCAUCAUUGUGUGUCAUUGUAUCGCUACUGCUCCUUAAAUUUAUAUUGAAUGUUUUAUCUUAAGAUAUUUAUAGCCCUUUGUAGCUCUAUUGUGCAUUCCAAUAAUCGCCUUUGUCAUUCAUUAUACACUGUUGUAUAUACCCGUUGCAUAUACAUGUAAAAUUAUAUCACAGUGGCGGAUCCAGAGGAGUCGGACACCUCCCCCUCCCUUUUGUCAGAAAUAUUGCUUUAAAAAAGGUGAAAAUAACGCAUUUUGAGGAUGGACGUUUUGAAAACCAAAAUUAAUAGUUGAAUCUCCCUCCCCCCUUUUCAAAAAUCCAUCCCUGUAUCAUACAGAGGUAGUGUAAAUGGCCAACGAAAGGUUGGUCAUUUUUUUCUCACUUUUUUCUUCUUUUCAUCUGGUAUCUAUAUACAUACAUGAACAUAAACAUUUGUUUCUUUAUAUGAAGGAAUACACUUGUAUUAUGAAGAACCUGGUUAAUCAUUUAUCAAGAAUCAAAUUGUUACCUCGAGAGCUUGAUCUUUUAUAUGAGCAGUGAAUAUCAAUUUGAAUAUGACAUAUCUCAUUCAGAAAAAACAUCGGUUACGCUUUGUUGUUGUUGUUAUUUGAAAUAUUAAAUUGUUUACAAAAUACU